rnacentral:lncRNA from 10 species
CUUGAGAUGAAAUCUAGUCUUGGUGAAGAUGCUAUGAACAUCGUUGAAACAACACAGGAUUUACGAUAUCGCAUAAACCUAGUUUAUAAAGCAAUGGUAAGAUUUGAGAGGGUUGACUCUAAUUUUGAAAGAUGUCCUACUGUGGAUAAAGUGCUAUCCACAGCAUUGCAUGCUACAGAAAAAUCUUUCAUGAAAUGAAGAGUCAAUUGAUACAGCAAAUUUUGUUGUUAUCUUAUUUUACAGAAAUUGCCACAGUCACCUCAACCUUCAGCAACCACCAACUUGAUCAAUCAGCAGCCAAUAACGUGAAGUCAUGACCAUUCACCAGCAAAAAGUUUAUGAUUCACCAAAAUAUUAGAUGAUCAUUAACAUUUUUAGCAAUAAUGUAUUUGUCAUUAAGGUGUUAGUGCAUUGGAAAAUCAUUUAAAGAAUGUAUCAGCUAAUUGAAGGCUUAUGUAAGCUGAAGUUCCUGUAUCUGCCUACGAUCCAGACCCACCAAGGAGGACGACAGUGUUUUUCUUUUCUUCCCCUCCACGUUAUCUCAUUAUCUGUAGCAGAAAAGAAGACCAAGAUGUGGCUACACCCGAGCAGACCUUUUUCCAUGUAUAAAGACUGUCUCAAAGGAUCAUUUAAAUUUCACGAACUAUUUACAAGUUAAUAGUUUGAUUGUUCCUGGACCCAAUUAUUCUCCCUAUCAAUCAUUUAAAAUCAAUUUUAACAUUGUGGUAGUAGAAUUUUUUCCUUUAACUGAUAUUAUAUUAAAACAUUCCACAAUUGAACACGUAUUAACUCUUAAGUAUGUAUAGCCUCCCGUGACCAUUUGUGUAUGAAAUCCAUUCAAACCAUACAAUAUCACAAUCUAAAUCUUUUUACUUACAGUCAUGUUAUAAUACUCUGGAUUUAAGUCUUACUUUUUAUGGUUUACAUAUCAUACUCUGUAGAAUAGCUAAGCAUAUUAUUAGAAAUGAGACUUUUGUGCAAUUUUCACCCACAUUCGAUUUAUAGACAAACUGAUAUUCUUUUCACACAGCAAAAGAAUUCAGCCUGGCAUCUUUAGGAAAUGAAAAACUGGUUGCCAGAGGGAAGGAACCUAAAUUUUUUCAAUGUGGUUAUUAUAUAUAUUGUAGGCCAGGCCUUUUUCCCAAGUAAGGAGAAGGGGAGACUCAUAUAUAUAUAUUUUUAUUUUUAAUAAAAAUUUGACUUGGGAAAUUUAUGAAUUUAUUUUAGUGACUCAGUAUUAACACAGUAUUUUAAUUUUGUUUUAUUGCAGAACCGCAUGCAUUUUUUAGAAAUAAUAAAAUGAAAUAUAUAAUACUUCUAAUAUUUUCAUGGUCAUGCAAGAAACUACACCUUUACAAUAUUAGCCGACGUCGGCAGUGCUUGAAAUAAGAUAUUCUCAUGUAUCAAAAUGAAUGACUAACGAGGGACAUAAAUUGACUAAGAAAACAAGAUAAACUGCCAAUAAAUGUUCAAGAAGGAAAGUUUACUAAUGCACUUCUCUAUGCCAUUUGACUGCAAAUGAAGUGAUGGCUAUCUUCAUCACUGCUGAUAUAGUGGCCUUUACAUUAUUAGACUACAUGACAGUAUACUAUAAUUACUUUCCCUUUUCUCCUAUCCCUUUACAAAUGAAAUAAUUGCCUUAGGAAAUAAUUGCCUCCAUAUAACUGUAUCUAGUAUAGAUCAAUUUUCUCUUCAUGCAUUCAAAGAUACAUGGACAGACUUCUGUGUUAUUCUUUUUCUGAAUGCUGUUGUCCAUUCCGUCUCGCAAACAUCACAAAAUCUCUUGAAAUAAAAUUAAAGGCAUUCCUUUUUGACUCAGAGAAGUAAAUCAUUAUUUUCAAAACAGCUCAGGUGACAAGUGUGUCAAGCUCUCAAGACCCGUUAAACAUGUCAUGUGGGAGAUAACUUGAGAUCAUUCACAUCAACUACAUUUCUAGGCGACCUCUGAUGACUCUAACAGCAAGUUUCCAGGUGUCUUCUUGGAAACUACUGUAUGAUUCUAUGCAUGUGACACAGUUGUUCUUUCCUACUUCACCCCCAAGAGGGAAUGAUUUGGAUUCCUCAUUACUUGUUCUGGCAUAUCUACCCGUGGGAGAAAAUGUGAAUAUAUUGAAAGUAUAUUAUUUACACUUGUAUUUGUGUAUGUGUGUGUAUAUAAUAUUACAUUUAUAUUCAUACAGCAAAAAUAUAUUACGUCAAGAUAUGUUUUGCAGGAAUGAGAAUUUUCAGUAAAAAAUGCCAGAAAGGUUUACAAGUCAAUUGAGAUGAACUAUGUCACCAGUCUAAGAACUUUUUUCAACUAUUUGACUUAAUUAAAUAACUUUUCAUUUCCAAGAUAGUUUUCAAUAUUUGGUUUAUUUUCAUAGAUUCAUCCCCUCACUUACAUUCUAUUACAUAUCUUUUACUACUUUGGAUCUGAUCGAUAUGAAGCAUUAAUACCAUUCUUAAAAACCUUUAACUAAUAGUACUUCCCAGUACAUGUCCUUUAGAAAUCAUUGCAAUAAAAACUACAUCAUUCCUGAGUACUCCUCAUGUAAAAAAAAUUCAGUGUUAAUUUCUGCAAGUUUCCUAAAUAUAAGUAUAUGAGUCUUGAGCAUAAUAUUGUGACAUGUGUAUGCAAAUAUUCUAUAAUACAGUAUUAUGAUCAUCUGAUUUGAAAAAUGAAUUUGCUUUGGAAUUAAAAAAGCAAUAAUCUUUCAGACUUAAAAGUCCUUUCAUGAAAAAAAUUAUAACAUUAUUGUUUUCAUAUCAUGGGCAACAUAUUCAAAAGAAGGAUUAGGAGAAUUAUAUAGUUUUUAAAUAAAUAUCAUUCAAUGUAUGAGUUAUUUGUACUUAUUCUAGAUAUGACUUUUUUCAAGUUUAUACUUUGAGGUUCCACAUCUGCUCCAAACUCAGCAAUGAGGGAUACUAUAUAAUAGUGUGAUUUAAAAAAUAAACAUCGAAAAUGAAAACUAUGUAAUCAAAUAGUUUAUAUAGAAAAUGCAGGGCAACUAGAACUUUCCUACACACCUGGUGGGAUUGUAGACUGGUGCAGCUGCUGUGAAAACUUGAAGUUUUUUUAAGUUUAAAUUUACUUAGAAAUAUUUGGAUGUAACUCAAAUUGCCUCCGUCAAGUCAGAGGCUGAAUGUUUAAUUAAAACAAACAUUACAUCUGAUAUCUAAGAUUAGAUUUAUGAAAAGUCACAGAAGCAAAAUUAAUAAAAAAUUGUAAUCAGAAGACAAGGAACUGCAGCUGUAUAAACAAUAUUCCACAUAUUGUGAUGAGGCAGCCGUCAUAAGCCUGGAUCUGAACCAUAGCAAGAUGUCUGAUAGAAGCAAUCACAAAAUCCUUAGAAAGGAGGAAUGAUAUUGAAUAAUAGAUAGAAAUAAAGAAAUCAGGCUUGCUAGGAAGUGUAGUUUUCUGUUAAAAAAUUAUUUCCCUCCAGGCACAUUUUAUGAACACAAAUCAGACUAUUGCUAUGUUUAUCAUGACCCUUAUGAUAGCCAGACACUAUGAUAGUUACUUUAUAAAUAUUAACUCAUUCAAUCCUUUAAUAAAUUCUAUGAUGUAGUUGUUAUAAAUAUGAACCUAAGUGAGGUUGACUUCUCUUUCCUUGCAUUGUUCUUUGUUAAUUUAUGUAAAAUUGUUCUCUGCUAAUUUGUGUAAAAAUUGUUAAUUGUUCUUUGCUAAUUUAUGUAAAAUAAUUCAAACACUGGAACAAGUAAAAACAAUAUGUAUAAAUGAUAAGUAUUUACCUUUUGAUGCCCAGUACACAACGUGAGGAAUAUGAUAUGGUUGUUUGGGUUCCAAGUCUAGCAGUUUGCCGAACUAAUGGGCAGGAAAAUUUUCCAAAUUAUCAUUUGCGUGUGUUGGCAGGUAAGAGGGCUUUUGUUUGGAUUGAGAAAAGAAAUAAAUAAAAUUUAAAAAAAUAUUGUUAGAUGGUUAAGCUUUUGUCUGUUUGUGUGCCUGGGGUCAUGUGUGUUUGUGCAUGUGUGUGCAUGUCUGUGUAUACAGGAGUCUGGAAGGAAGGAUAAU